rnacentral:rRNA from 1 species
UACGGGGGGGGCAAGCGUUGUUCGGAAUUACUGGGCGUAAAGGGCUCGUAGGCGGCCAACUAAGUCAUACGUGAAAUCCCUCGGCUUAACCGGGGAACUGCGUCUGAUACUGGAUGGCUUGAGAUUGGGAGAGGGAUGCGGAAUUCCAGGUGUAGCGGUGAAAUGCGUAGAUAUCUGGAGGAACACCGGUGGCGAAGGCGGCAUCCUGGACCGAGAUUGACGCUGAGGCGCGAAAGCCAGGGGAGCAAACAGG